UACGUAGGGUGCGAGCGUUAAUCGGAAUUACUGGGCGUAAAGCGCGCGCAGGCGGCUCUUUAAGUCUACCCGUGAAAUGCCGGAGCUCAACUCCGUGCACGCCGGGGGAUACUGGGGGGCUGGAGACAUGUAGAGGCAAGCGGAAUUCCGGGUGUAGCGGUGGAAUGCGUAGAGAUCCGGAAGAACACCGGUGGCGAAGGCGGUCUGCUGGGCAGUUGCUGACACUGAGGCACGAAGGUCAGGGGAGCAAACGGG
rnacentral:rRNA from 1 species